AAAAUAAAAAAUUUUCCCAUAUUUUGUCUUGCUGCUUUCCUCCCCUCUCUCUCUCUCUCUCUCUCUCUCAAAACACACCGGCACAAGGCAUGUUGUCAAUAUAUCAAAAUGCACAAUCUCCAAGUCUUCGGCUUCUAAUCAAAAUGAACCUAGAAGGUUUCAUCAAACGAGAGAAGGGUUCGAAGGGAGCUCAACUCUCUGAAUCGUCCCAUGAAGAAGGGUUACCUGGUACACAGUGCUUUGUUGAUUUCUGUUAAAGGUUUCGAAACCACCACAGUCAAGAGGUGUUGAUUGAACGAAGGUAGAUUUUUCUGUUUCUGGCCAAACUCUGUUCAGAUUGUUCUAUCACCAUUUGUUCUAUUUCAUGUAUAUGUUUAGUGAUUUUGGGGACUUCAAUUGAAAGAAACAAAAUAAAAGUUUUGAGAAGUUAAGUUUUAAAUUGAGAAUUUUGGGUUUUUAUUUGGGGGGGUUUUGAUUGAAAAAUUAAGGUUUUGUUGUCAUUGCCAAUUUUUCAAGUAAUUUUGAUUUUUACUUCUAAUGGUUUCUAUUUUAGUUUCACCAUUCUUUCUUUGUUCAAGAUUUGUGCUAGGUUUUUACUGGAAAGAAAAUUCGUAUAAGGUGAUUCUCUUCCUUGUCUUUGUGUGAUGUUUGCAUAUGUUUGUAUGUAUCUAAAUAUUAACGUAUACCCAAAAUCGUGACUCUCCAUAUCAAGAUGAUUUGUGUUAUGUGUACGAUUAUUACUUAUAUCUAUUUCUCUUUGUUGUUUUUGGCUGGGUAUGUUUGUGAAUCUAUGUUUUCUUAGGUAUCUCUAUGUAUCCCUAUUUUAUUUCUACCGUCUAGCAGAGAAGAAAACUAUAUACAUGUUAUUUAUGCCUCCUAGGUGCUUGAUAAAAUGCCACUAAAAUGACUGGCUCUUCCUAUACUUUUAUAUUGUUUUCUUGUGGGUGUUUUUUUAAUAUAUAUCUAUCUAUAUCUCUAAACUAUUAUUAAAAGUGAACACCUCACUUAAUUUCUAUGAAUUCCUUUCUCUCCUUGCCUCAAGUGUCAAUUUCUCUCCGCAAAAGGAAAAAAUAGUAGUUAUACGAGGGCUAUGAAUUGGUGGGGUUUAGAGCUAUGAAUUGUACCUUUUUUUAGUGCUUUGUGUUUGUGGUGUAGGGGUUAGUUGAUCUGUGGGAGUGGAAUUAAUGGGCCAUUUAGACUUAAGAUGAGAUAGCAUCAAUUGUUCAUGCAUUGCUGGCUUCAACUCUAUUUUGUUUCUCCUUGAGUGACAUGGACUUCUUUAUUUCAUAAAUAGCAAAAAUCAAAAUGCAUAGCUAUUAAAUUAGAUGACAUUAUCUGAAUGACUCAUAAUUUUGAAAUGGAAACAUGAAAACAUUAUUAAAAAAUCUGAAUAGUUGUACAUAACUGAUAAUGUUUCUACCUUCAUUUUCUAUGCUAGUGAGAUGGGCCAUAUAGCCUCCACAGGAUAUUCACUAUCAAUGGGCGGGUGCAAUCCUAUGAAUCUUGUAUAUAUAUAUGUAUAUAUAUAUAUAAAGAAAAUGGCUAUAUUUGAAACUUAUCCUGUUAUAUAUGAGAAAUCACCAAGGACAUGAAAAGUUUGGUGGAAUAAAAAUGUGAAUAAAUCACAAAAUAUAAAGCUUAUUCAGCGAGCAUAAGCUUCUUGAUAUGUUAUGUUUUGUGGAUUUGCAGAGUUCUUGCCCAAGUUGCAUACUAUGGUUCUCACUAACAAUCAACUAACUAACUUGGUUGAGAUUGAUCCUCUUGCAUCCCUAAGCUGCAGUUCCUUAGUCUUCUUGAUAAUAAUAUCACAAAGAAGCCAAAUUGCUGCUUAUAUGUCAUCCACAAGCUGAAAUCAUUGCGCUUGCUGGACUUCAAGAAAGUGAAACACAAGGUCUAUCAGUUGUUCAGAAUAGCAAUCCUGAUGCUAUAUUUUUGGCUCAUGAGAACACCAUGGGUCGCAUUCGAAAAGGUUACAAUUUUCCUUUGUUUAAUCUCCCUAGUCCUUUGAGGCCUUUGCUUGAUUUUUUGUUUUGGGAAAGAAUUUUGAUCAAGGCCAUGUAUGCAUAGCUAUUUCUUUAUUUUAGAAGUCAACUCCCUUGGCAUCUUAAUUUUCCUUGUUGUCUACAUGUAUAUUUCAGAUUUUGUUUAUUUAUUUAUUGUUUUUGAGGUGGGGCUUAGACUGAAGACUUUUGUAAGGUUUAGGAAGUUAGUUUGUGAAUGUGGGAAAGACUA